GGGGAUUUAGCUCAGUGGUAGAGCGCUUGCCUAGCAAGCACAAGGCCCUGGGUUCGGUCCCCAGCUCCCCA
rnacentral:tRNA from 1 species